CCCCAAAGAGGUCGGAUGGAGGUAUGCCUCUCUUCAGAUGGGAUGGCACAUCAUCUGAGAUACUCUUUCCUCAAUUCAUAAUUGAUUGAUGUUAGCUCAAUUGAAGAAAGGAUGUGGCUAGCAUUGGGUGGCGAUAGCCUGACCUACAAAAUAAGUCCCUGAUCGAAGUUAGUUUCAACAGAGAUCCUCCAACACUCAAAUCAGAAGACAAUGGAAUUGGGGGGAAGGAGUGAGUAGUG
rnacentral:lncRNA from 1 species